UACGAAGGGGGCUAGCGUUGCUCGGAAUCACUGGGCGUAAAGGGUGCGUAGGCGGGUCUUUAAGUCAGGGGUGAAAUCCUGGAGCUCAAUUCCAGAACUGCCUUUGAUACUGAGGAUCUUGAGUUCGGGAGAGGUGAGUGGAACUGCGAGUGUAGAGGUGAAAUUCGUAGAUAUUCGCAAGAACACCAGUGGCGAAGGCGGCUCACUGGACCGGUUCUGACGCUGAAGCGCGAAAGCGUGGGGAGCAAACGGG
rnacentral:rRNA from 1 species